AGAUUGAACGCUGGCGGCAGGCCUAACACAUGCAAGUCGAGCGGUAGAGAGGUGCUUGCAUCUCUUGAGAGCGGCGGACGGGUGAGUAAUGCCUAGGAAUCUGCCUAGUGGUGGGGGAUAACGUUCGGAAACGGACGCUAAUACCGCAUACGUCCUACGGGAGAAAGCGGGGGACCUUCGGGCCUCGCGCCAUUAGAUGAGCCUAGGUCGGAUUAGCUAGUUGGUGAGGUAAUGGCUCACCAAGGCGACGAAUCCGUAACUGGUCUGAGAGGAUGAUCAGUCACACUGGAACUGAGACACGGUCCAGACUCCUACGGGAG
rnacentral:rRNA from 1 species